AGAGAACACAGUAUUAUAUCAGGACCUAUAGACACUAAACCAAGAGGAAUAUAAAAUAUAUUUCCUCUGUUCUGAUUGACAGGUUGUUUGAGCUCCUUCAAAGUGACAGGAUACUCUGGAGGAACUGUCAUCCUCUACUGUAAAUAUUCACAUCGUCAUGACGACAAUCAAAAUAUUUCACUGAUGGCAACAGCAAGGAUCAAAUCAAAACUGGAUUGAAGAACACCUGGGUACACAGUGGUAGAUUCUCUCUGUAUGACAACACUGGAGGAAACUACUUCAAGGUGAUCAUCAGACAACUGACCAGAAAAGAUGAAGGGACCUACUGGUGUGGAGUGGACAAACCUACUAUACCUGACAGUUAUACCAAGGUAGAGCUGGAUGUGAAGAAGGAUGACUGCUGUGAGAAGUCAGUCACAGAGACGGCCUAUCUGGGAGGAGAAGCUACCAUCAGAUGCAACUAUCCAGAGGACCAUGAGGACAGCAUCAAGUAUUUCUGCAAGGAAAGCAAUGACUUCAAGACAUGUGUUUAUAUGAUCUCUGCUUACCAGACAACUACAAAAGCUGGCCGUUUCUCUGUGUCUGACAACAGAAGAGAGAGAUUCUCCACAGUGACCAUCAGUGACCUGACUGCAGACUACACUAGAUGUAUCCUCUCUGUGGGACCUGAGCCCUAGGACCAUGCCUCAGGACUACCUGGCUUGAUGACUCCUUGCUGUCCCCAGUUCACCUAGCCGUGCUGCUGCUCCAGUUCCAACUGUUCUGCCUGCAGCUAUGGAACCCUGACCUGUUCACCGGACGUGCUACCUGUCCCAGACCUGUUGUCCCAGACCUGCUGGAACCCUGACCUAUUCACCAGACGUGCUACCUGUCCCAGACCUGCUGUCCCAGACCUGCUGUCCCAGACCUGCUGGAACCCUGACCUAUUCACCGGACGUGCGACCUGUCCCAGACCUGCUGUUUUCAACUCUCUAGAGACAGCAGGAGCGGUAGAGAUACUCUCAAAGAUCGGCUAUGAAAAAGCCAACUGACCCUUACUCUUGUGUUACUGACUUGUUGCACCCUCGACAACUACUAUGAUUAUUAUUAUUUGACCAUGCUGGUCAUUUAUGAACAUUUGAACAUCUAGGCCUUGUGCUGUUAUAAUCUCCACCCGGCACAGCCAGAAGAGGACUGGCCACCCCUCAUAGCCUGGUUCCUCUCUAGGUUUCUUCCUAGGUUUUGGCCUUUCUAGGGAGUUUUUCCAAGCCACCGUGCUUCUACACCUGCAUUGCUUGCUGUUUGGGGUUUUAGGCUGGGUUUCUGUACAGCACUUUGAGAUAUCAGCUGAUGUAAGAAGGGCUAUAUAAAUAUAUUUGAUUUGAUUUGAUCUUUCAACGGAUCUGGAAAAUAAACUUUUACAUAUUCAAAUGGUUAGUGUUAGAUAUGUCUGUAUGUAGUGUUAUGAUAUGAGGGUAGGUUAGUGUUUGACAUGUCUGUAUGUAGUGUUAUGAUAUGAUGGUAGGUUAGUGGUAGACAUGUCUUUAUGUAGUGUUAUGAUAUGAGGGUAGGUUAGUGGUAGACAUGUCUGUAUGUAGUGUUAUGAUAUGAGGGUAGGUUAGUGGUAGACAUGUCUGUAUGUAGUGUUAUGAUAUGAUGGUAGGUUAGUGGUAGACAUUUCUGUAUGUAGUGUUAUGAUAUGAGGGUAGGUUAGUGUUAUGAUAUGAGGGUAGGUUAGUGUUAGACAUGUCUGUAUGUAGUGUUAUGAUAUGAGGGUAGGUUAGUGGUAGACAUGUAUGUAUGUUGUGUUAUGAUAUGAGGGUAGGUUAGUGUUAUGAUAUGAGGGUAGGUUAGUGGUAGACAUGACUGUAUGUAGUGUUAUGAUAUGAAGGUAGGUUAGUGGUAGACAUGUCUGUAUGUAGUGUUAUGAUAUGAGGGUAGGUUAGUGUUAUGAUAUGACGGUAGGUUAGUGUUAUGAUAUGAGGGUAGGUUAGUGUUAGACAUGUCUGUAUGUAGUGUUAUGAUAUGUGGGUAGGUUGGUGGUAGACAUGUAUGUAUGUAGUGUUAUGAUAUGAGGGUAGGUUAGUGGUUACUUUAUCCUAUCCCAGGUAUUCCUUAAAGAGGUGGGGUUUCAGGUGUCUCCGGAAGGUGGUGAUUGACUCCGCUGUCCAGGCGUCGUGAG
rnacentral:lncRNA from 1 species